AGCUUAAAAAGGCACUUGAGGAAAACAAAGACUUGAAACUACAAAUAGCUGUCUUACGCCAGAGAAUAAAGACACUUGAAAGUCGGCUGACUGUUCAAGUUGUCAGAAAUAAAUAUGAGAAAAAAAAAACCAACCAGUCCUCUGAGACCGAAUUUGAUAAAAUUUUAAUAUCUUACGAGAAGUUCCUCAGGGGACCAUUUCCCACGCCUAAACGGAGCCAGAAUGCGCGGCAGAGGGUGGAGACUGUACGUCAAUUUGCCAACCAUGCUUUUAAAAAUGUAGUCCCACUGGUAAAUGGGACUCCAUUUUAAAUGAGGAGGUUUUCUUUGGUUUUAUCAAAAUGCUCAAAGAGCACAAUUAUCGUGCCACCACAAUGGUGCACAAGUUUGUGGACCUUUCACACUUUUUUAGAUUGGUAAAGGAGGCAGGCCCCGAUGGGAUUAGAGUCUCAAAGAAAGCCCUUAAACGUGCUCUUCUUAUAAUAAAAAUGUGCACGAAGGAGGAGUCAAAAAACAGGCAGGCCUGGCAGCAGGAGGUCCACCUAUUGAAAUCUGAAAACCUUUUGGAUCCAGCUGCCCAUGCUGAGUUUAUAAGGGCCGCUUCGGAGGUGCUUCCGAAUAUAUUGCAUAA